AGAGUUUGAUCCUGGCUCAGAUUGAACGCUGGCGGCAGGCCUAACACAUGCAAGUCGAACGGCAGCACAGAAGAGCUUGCUCUUUGGGUGGCGAGUGGCGGACGGGUGAGUAACACGUAGGAAUCUACCCAGUAGUGGGGGAUAACCUGGGGAAACCCAGGCUAAUACCGCAUACGCCCUGAGGGGGAAAGCGGGGGAUCUUCGGACCUCGCGCUAUUGGAUGAGCCUGCGUCGGAUUAGCUAGUUGGUGGGGUAAGGGCCCACCAAGGCGACGAUCCGUAGCUGGUCUGAGAGGAUGACCAGUCACACCGGAACUGAGACACGGUCCGGACUCCUACGGGAGGCAGCAGUGGGGAAUAUUGGACAAUGGGCGCAAGCCUGAUCCAGCCAUGCCGCGUGGGUGAAGAAGGCCUUCGGGUUGUAAAGCCCUGUGGGGAGGGACGAAUAAGUCAUGGCUAAUAUCCAUGGUGAUGACGGUACCUCCUUAGCAAGCACCGGCUAACUCUGUG
rnacentral:rRNA from 1 species